rnacentral:lncRNA from 1 species
GCUCGGGUCCCCUUCCACACUGUGGAAGCUUUGUUCUUUCACUCUUCACAAUAAAUCUUGCUGCUGCUCACUCUUUGGGUCCUCACUACCUUUAUGAGCUGUAACCCUCACCACAACGGUCUGCAGCUUCACUCCUGAAGUCAGCGAGAGCACAAACCCACUGGGAGGAAUGAACAACUCCAGACAUGCCACCUUAAGAGCAGUAACACUCACUGUGAAGGUCUGCAGCUUCACUUCUGAAGUCAGCAAGACCACGAACCCACCAGAAGGAAGAAACUCCAGACAUAUAUGAACAUCUGAAGGAACAACUCCGGACACACCAUCUUUAAGAACUGUAACACUCACUGCGAGGGUCCGCAGCUUUAUUCUUGAAGUCGGCGAGACCAAGAACCCACCAGAAGGAACCAAUUCAGGACACAGAUAGGGUGCAGACCUGCAUAGUGAAACUACCCACAGCAAGGAUGUAUGCCUGUGAGUUGGCACAGAAUCGGUGGAUCAGACUUGGCCUUCAACCUCCUGUUAUCCUGAUGAAAUUGCAAGCUCCAAACAACAGAGACACAACAUUGACCAACAGUAAGAUGCUUGAAGAAAUAUUUCUUUCAGGACAAACUCUGUGCAUCCCAUGAGGGUGGAUGGAUGGACUGAUGAGGACAAAGCCAGUGACAUCAUGAGCAGGAAACAAUGUUUCUCUCAAGCUGCAGCUUCAAAAUGUCAAACAGCCUCUUCCUUGGCUGACAACUGCUUUCUGACUCAACGGGAGACCUUGUUCUCCAACGUCAGGGGCUGUCAGAAACUUUGCUUAUGAGUAAGAAGAACAUCCCAGUUCUUGGAGGAUCUACAUCCACCUCUUCACAGAAGCACAGAGCUACAGAGAAGGGGUUUCUGGAUGGAACAUUCCAAAUCUGGCAGGACUUUAUGGGUUCUAAGGACACAAGACCUAGGUCCACUUUGCAGAGCAGAUUUGACACUGGCUGCUUUACACUAAGACCUGCCAUGCUCUGAGUCCAUCACUACAGCCUCAAAAAUCCCUCCCCACAGUCUUAUAAUAUUCUCUUUGCUUUGUUUUUUGAAUCAUCCCAGGUUGGUUGAUGUGAAUUUAUUCCCUUUUUGCUACAAGCCAAUAGUCUGUUGACUGCAAAAUCAGUUUUGGUGACUGACUGCACUAAGAUAUAUAUUAUUUUUCUGGAAUUUGGGAUGAUUGUAGUAUUUAUUAGGACUUUAAGAUGAGUAAUUUGUUGUGACUUAUUUCCUCUUCUUAAAUAAACACUAACUUUUGUGCUUAGUUUCUGAUUGGUUAUAUUAUGCUAUUUUUCAUGCAGAUAACUCUGUGUAUUAUGUAAGCCUUAGACCUCACGGAACCUGGGUUGUCUGUGGUCAUAGUGCUGAGAAUCCACCUGCCCAGGGAAUGACUGCACUGGUUCCUGCUUCCCAGGCCUCCAAUGGACUUAUCCCUCCUUUCAGAGUGAUUUGUUUAUGCUGAAGGUGGAGUUUCUAACUUCAGCGGUUUUAGUCUUUUAGCAAGAAUUUGUGACAUUAUUUUUGCUAAAGGAACUCUUAGAAGGGGUGCAAUAUUUUCAAAACAUGACCCUCAUGAGACUUCUUUACUCCAAAGACCCAGUAGCUUCUGGACAGGGCCCAGACUCUCAGCUUGUUCCAGAAGAGAAAGACCCACAU